AAAAAAAAAAAAAAAAAAACUCCCUCCCUACCCCAUUGCUUCACAUGUAAUGAGAAUCACUCAAUCAGAUCACAAUCUCACCAAUCAAAUCAUUCCUCCAAUUCAUUCGUCUACCUGUACCAUUGAUUCUAGCAACUAUAUGGCUUUCUUCACCUUACAAUAAAAAAAACUCACCAUGCUGUACGAAGUACGAUAUU